CGUGGAUUAUAGUACACGAAUCCGGGGGCCCGCGGGACCCAGGCACCGGUUCCCACGGGUUGCCUCCAAGGGCCAUGGGAGACCCUUUGAAGGCACCCUCGUGUCCUGGAAGGGUCAUGUGGUGUCGUUCGGAGGCCCUCCAAGGUCCAGCUAGGGUCGUGCCGAGCGAGCCAAGGGAAGGCAAAAGUGGGAAGGAAAUGAAGGUCUGAGGCCCCAUGGGGGAUCCUCGGGCAC